rnacentral:rRNA from 1 species
CCUACGGGAGGCUGCAGUGGGGAAUAUUGGACAAUGGGGGGAACCCUGAUCCAGCCAUGCCGCGUGUGUGAAGAAGGCCCUCGGGUUGUAAAGCACUUUCAGUGAGGAAGAACGCCUGGUGGUUAAUACCCAUCAGGAAAGACAUCACUCACAGAAGAAGCACCGGCUAACUCCGUGCCAGCAGCCGCGGUAAUACGGAGGGUGUGAGCGUUAAUCGGAAUUACUGGGCGUAAAGCGCGCGUAGGUGGCUUGAUAAGCCGGUUGUGAAAGCCCCGGGCUCAACCUGGGAACGGCAUCCGGAACUGUCAAGCUAGAGUGCAGUAGAGGAAGGUAGAAUUCCCGGUGUAGCGGUGAAAUGCGUAGAGAUCGGGAGGAAUACCAGUGGCGAAGGCGGCCUUCUGGACUGACACUGACACUGAGGUGCGAAAGCGUGGGUAGCAAACAGGAUUAGAUACCCUGGUAGUC